rnacentral:rRNA from 1 species
GACGAACGCUGGCGGCGUGCUUAACACAUGCAAGUCGAACGGAAAGGCCCUGCUUUUGUGGGGUGCUCGAGUGGCGAACGGGUGAGUAACACGUGAGUAACCUGCCCUUGACUUUGGGAUAACUUCAGGAAACUGGGUCUAAUACCGGAUAGGAGCUCCUGCUGCAUGGUGGGGGUUGGAAAGUUUCGGCGGUUGGGGAUGGACUCGCGGCUUAUCAGCUUGUUGGUGGGGUAGUGGCUUACCAAGGCUUUGACGGGUAGCCGGCCUGAGAGGGUGACCGGCCACAUUGGGACUGAGAUACGGCGCAGACGCCUACGGGGGACAGCGGUGGGGAAUAUGGCACAGUGGUCGGAAGCGUGAGGCGGCAACGCCGCGUGCGGGAUGACGGCCUUCGGGUUGUAAACCGCUUUCGCCUGUGACGAAGCGUGAGUGACGGUAAUGGGUAAAGAAGCACCGGCUAACUACGUG